GAUUAAACUAGGAUUAGAUACCCUAUUAUUUUAGAGCUUUACAUUGUAAGUAAAUAAUAAUUACGAAAGCAAAAAACUAUGGCGGUAUUUUAAGCUUUUCAGAGGAAUUUGCUCUUUAAUGGAUAAAACACCUAAAUCUUACUUAAAUUUGUUAGGUCAAUUUGUAUACCACUAUUAAAUUAAUUAAUAAUUUUAAUUUAUAAAAUUUAUAUAAAUUUAAAAAAAAUUAAGUCAAGGUGCAGUAAAAAUUUAAGAAUGAAGUGAAUUACAAUUCUCUUAAGAGAUUAUUUAAAUUAAAAUUUUAAUUUAGGAUUUGAAAGUAAAAUUAAAAUAGAAUGUUAAUUUGAAUAAAGCUCUAAAAUAUGUACACAUCGCCCGUCGCUCUCAUUAAUCACUAGU
rnacentral:rRNA from 1 species